UAAAAAGCUCGUAGUCGGAGGUGUGUCUCGGACGGUCGGUUCGCCGCUUGUCGGUGCUCAACUGGCCGGUCCGGACGUCCUGCCGGUGGGGCCGUAAAAGGCUCCGUUAUCCUUCUUUGGUCCUCUUCAUUGAGUGCCUUGGUGGGCCGGCACGUUUACUUUGAACAAAUUAGAGUGCUCAAAGCAGGCCGUUGGUCGCCUGAAUACUGUGUGCAUGGAAUAAUGGAAUAGGACCUCGGUUCCAUUUUGUUGGUUUUCAGAACUCGAGGUAAUGAUUAAUAGGGACGGACGGGGGCAUUCGUAUUGCGACGUUAGAGGUGAAAUUCUUGGAUCGUCGCAAGACGAACCGAUGCGAAAGCAUUUGCCAAGAACGUUUUCGUUGAUCAAGAACGAAAGUUAGAGGUUCGAAGGCGAUCAGAUACCGCCCUAGUUCUAACCAUAAACGAUGCCAGCUAGCCAUCCGCCGAAGUUCCUUAUAUGACUCGGCGGGCAGCUUCCGGGAAACCAAAGCUCUUGGGUUCCGGGG
rnacentral:rRNA from 5 species